CCCUACUGCUAUCGGGGUGGGACUAAGACAUGCGAGUCGAGCGUCUCCAGCUAUGGUGAGACGCGGCAGACGGCUCAGUAACACGUGGCUAACCUACCCUCAGGACGGGGACAAACCCGGGAAACUGGGGCUAAUACCCGAUAGGCGAGGGCGCCUGGAAUGGUUCUUCACCCAAAGGGCUUUGGAAGCAUGCUUUUCAAAGUCGCCUGGGGAUGGGGCCGCGUCCGAUCAGGUUGUUGGUGAGGUAACGGCUCACCAAGCCUAUAACCGGUACGGGCCGUGAGAGCGGUAGCCCGGAGAUGGGCACUGAGACAAGGGCCCAGGCCCCACGGGGCGCAGCAGUCGCGAAAACUCCGCAAUGCACGAAAGUGUGACGGGGCUACCCCGAGUGCCGUCCGCUGAGGAUGGCUUUUCCUCGGUGUAACUAGCCGGGGGAAUAAGGAGAGGGCAAGACUGGUGUCAGCCGCCGCGGUAAUACCAGCUCUCCGAGUGGUAGGGAUGAUUAUUGGGCUUAAAGCGUCCGUAGCCGGCUUAGCAAGUCUCCUGUUAAAUUCAGCGACCUAAUCGUUGAGCCGCGGGAGAUACUACUAGGCUAGGAGGCGGGAGAGGUCGACGGUAUUUCCGGGGUAGGGGUGAAAUCCUAUAAUCCCGGGAGGACCACCAGUGGCGAAGGCUGUCGACUAGAACGCGCUCGACGGUGAGGGACGAAAGCUGGGGGAGCGAACCGGAUUAGAUACCCGGGUAGUCCCAGCCGUAAACGAUGCGGGCUAGGUGUUGGGGUGGCUACGUGCCACUUCAGUGCCGCAGGGAAGCCAUUAAGCCCGCCGCCUGGGGAGUACGGGCCGCAAGGCUGAAACUUAA
rnacentral:rRNA from 1 species